rnacentral:rRNA from 1 species
UACGUAGGGUCCGAGCGUUGUCCGGAAUUACUGGGCGUAAAGAGCUCGUAGGUGGUUUGUCGCGUUGUUCGUGAAAACUCACAGCUUAACUGUGGGCGUGCGGGCGAUACGGGCAGACUUGAGUACUGCAGGGGAGACUGGAAUUCCUGGUGUAGCGGUGGAAUGCGCAGAUAUCAGGAGGAACACCCGUAGCGAAGGCGGCACUCUGGGCCGAUACUGACACUGAGGAGCGAAAGCGUGGGGAGCGAACAGG